GCUUACGACCUCACCGGCCUGAGUACGCCUGAUCUCGUCUGAUCUCGGAAACUAAGUAGGGUCGGGCCUGUUUAGUACUUGGAUGGGUGACCGCCUGGGAAUACCAGGUGCUGCAAGCU
ensembl:rRNA 5S_rRNA 5S ribosomal RNA